ACUCAGAGAUCCACCUGCCUUUGCCGCC
rnacentral:piRNA from 1 species